AUUGAACGCUGGCGGCAUGCCUUACACAUGCAAGUCGAACGGUAACAGGUUAAGCUGACGAGUGGCGAACGGGUGAGUAAUGUAUCGGAACGUGCCCAGUCGUGGGGGAUAACUACUCGAAAGAGUGGCUAAUACCGCAUACGACCUGAGGGUGAAAGCGGGGGACCGUAAGGCCUCGCGCGAUUGGAGCGGCCGAUAUCAGAUUAGCUAGUAGGUGAGGUAAAGGCUCACCUAGGCGACGAUCAGUAGCGGGUCUGAGAGGAUGAUCCGCCACACUGGGACUGAGACACGGCCCAGACUCCUACGGGAGGCAGCAGUGGGGAAUUUUGGACAAUGGGCGAAAGCCUGAUCCAGCCAUGCCGCGUGUCUGAAGAAGGCCUUCGGGUUGUAAAGGACUUUUGUCAGGGAGGAAAUCCCUAGCGUUAAUACCGCUGGGGGAUGACAGUACCUGAAGAAUAAGCACCGGCUAACUACGUGCCAGCCGCCGCCGUAACAC
rnacentral:rRNA from 1 species